CCAAACCUGGUUGAUCCUGCCAGUAGUCAUAUGCUUGUCUCAAAGAUUAAGCCAUGCAUGUCUAAGUGUAAAUAAGUCUACACUGUGAAACUGCGAAUGGCUCAUUAAAUCAGUUAUCGUUUAUUUGAUGGUCCCUUACUACAUGGAUAACCGUAGUAAUUCUAGAGCUAAUACAUGCAUUCAGCCCCGACUUCG
rnacentral:rRNA from 1 species